rnacentral:ncRNA from 1 species
AGGGGAAAUGCAGGCUCCCCUUGAGGCUCCGGUCCAAGAACUGU